GGAAGGAAGAAAGGAAGGAAGGAAGGAAGGAAGGAAGGAAGGAAGGAAGGAAGGAAGGAAGGAAGGAAGGAAGGAAGGAAGGAAGGAAGGAAGGAAGGAAGGAAGGAAGGAAGGAAGGAAGAGAGAGAGAGACAGGAAGGAAGGAAGAGAGAGAGAGAAAGAGAGAGAGAAAGAGAGAGAGAGAGAAAGAAAGAAAGAAAGAAGGAAAGAAAGAAAGAAAGAAAGAAAGAAAGAAAGAAAGAAAGAAAGAAAGAAAGAAAGAAAGAAAGAAAGAAAGAAAGAAAGAAAGAAAGAAAGAAAGAAAGAAAGAAAGAAAGAAAGAAAGAGGAAAGAAGGAAGGAAGGAAGAGAGAGAGAGAGAAAGAAAGAGAGUAAGAAGGAA
rnacentral:lncRNA from 1 species